CCGAUCGCUGAAGUUAAGCAACGUCAGGCCUGGUCAGUACCUAGAUAGGUAACCGCUUGGGAAUACCAGGUGCUGUAUG